GAGUUUGAUCAUGGCUCAGGACGAACGCUGGCGGCGUGCUUACACAUGCAAUUCGAGCGAUGAGAUCACUUCGGUGAAGGAUUAGCGGCGAACGGGUGAGGAACACGUGAAGAAUCUGCCUUCAACUCUGGGAUAACUCCGGGAAACCGGGGCUAAUACCGGAUAUGAGCCUUGAUCGCAUGAUCGGGGCUGGAAAGUUUUUCGGUUGAAGAUGACUUCGCGGCCUAUCAGCUUGUUGGUGAGGUAAUGGCUCACCAAGGCGACGACGGGUAGCCGGCCUGAGAGGGCGACCGGCCACACUGGGACUGAGACACGGCCCAGACUCCUACGGGAGGCAGCAGUGGGGAAUAUUGGGCAAUGGAGGAAACUCUGACCCAGCGACGCCGCGUGCGGGAUGAAGGCCUUCGGGUUGUAAACCGCUUUCAGCAGGGAAUAAGCGCAAGUGAAGGUACCUGCAGAAGAAGCACCGGCUAACUAUGUGCCAGCAGCCGCGGUAAUACAUAGGGUGCAAGCGUUGUCCGGAAUUAUUGGGCGUAAAGAGCUCGUAGGUGGUUUGUUACGUCGGUUGUGAAAUUCAGGGGCUCAACCCCUGACUUGCAGCCGAUACGGGCAAGCUAGAGUUUGGUAGGGGAGACUGGAAUUCCUGGUGUAGCGGUGGAAUGCGCAGAUAUCAGGAGGAACACCGAUGGCGAAGGCAGGUCUCUGGGCCAAUACUGACACUGAGGAGCGAAAGCGUGGGGAGCGAACAGGAUUAGAUACCCUGGUAGUCCACGCCGUANACGGUGGGCGCUAGUUGUGCGAACCUUCCACGGUUUGUGCGACGCAGCUAACGCAUUAAGCGCCCCGCCUGGGGAGUACGAUCGCAAGAAUUAAACUCCAAGGAAUUGACGGGGCCCCGCACAAGCAGCGAAGCAUGCGGGCUAAAUCGACGCA
rnacentral:rRNA from 1 species